AUUGAACGCUGGCGGCAUGCUUUACACAUGCAAGUCGAACGGUAACAGGCCGCAAGGUGCUGACGAGUGGCGAACGGGUGAGUAAUGCAUCGGAACGUGCCCAGUCGUGGGGGAUAACUACUCGAAAGAGUAGCUAAUACCGCAUACGAUCUACGGAUGAAAGCGGGGGACCGUAAGGCCUCGCGCGAUUGGAGCGGCCGAUGUCAGAUUAGGUAGUUGGUGGGGUAAAGGCUCACCAAGCCAACGAUCUGUAGCUGGUCUGAGAGGACAACCAGCCACACUGGGACUGAGACACGGCCCAGACUCCUACGGGAGGCAGCAGUGGGGAAUUUUGGACAAUGGGCGCAAGCCUGAUCCAGCAAUGCCGCGUGCAGGAAGAAGGCCUUCGGGUUGUAAACUGCUUUUGUACGGAACGAAACGGCUCUGGUUAAUACCCGGGGCUAAUGACGGUACCGUAAGAAUAAGCACCGGCUAACCACGUG
rnacentral:rRNA from 1 species